rnacentral:lncRNA from 1 species
UCCUAACUUAUCAAUUCCUUCGGCCUUUAAAAUAUUUUUCAGGUUUUGUCACAUGUGCUUGUGGACACUAUUUUCCUACAAAACUAAUCAAAACACAUCAUACCCUUAUAAACAUACUUACGAACAUUCAAAAAUUCCUUGUUUUAAGUAUCAAAAGUGCCAUAAACCCACGACAAAUCUACUACCCUACAAUAUUCCAUAUUCCACACUCAAUGGAACCAUCAAAAUUUCC